CCCGCACAUAAUCAGCGUCUUCGAAUCACUCGCCGGUCGCCGUGAUUUUGCUGCGAAGCAAUUCUUGGGUAGAUCGUAAAAGUUUCUUGCAGAGUUUCGCAGGAUUCAUGGUGAGGACCUAAUCACACUGUUCAACCAAGGACUACAAAGACUGGCAGAACCCCUUUCUGGACUUCACAAAGAUAGAUGCAAAUGAGCCAAGAAAGAUGUGACAGUUUACUUCCCGGAAGCUAAGAAGAAAUUGCCAUACAGAUUCUACCAACCUUUUUCAAGGAAGACCUGGUGAUAUAUUCAUCUCAAGUGACAAGGUUGAUACGAAGCCCAUGUACAUACGUGUAUCCUGCAAUCAAGAGGAAUCAUAUGAGCUUGUUCUGGAGGAGCAAAGAGUCUGUCAAGUCCAGGAUAAAGUGCAUGCAUUGGCUUGUUAAGUAGCUGGUUUUUAUUUUUCAUUCAGCCUAUGGCUAUGAGCCAU